UGGGAUCAACACAGUGACAAAUUGUCUUGUA
rnacentral:piRNA from 1 species